GUUAUUUCUAUGUCCGACGCUUUCUUCCUCGCCCAAAGGUAUCGAUUUGUACAUUAAGCCGUCGAUUUCAUCAUUCCAUGUUACCUAAUUUAAUUCAGGUCGAUCUUCUUUGUCGGUUUUGUCGGUGCUUGGAUUUUUUGUUUUAAUUUGGCGUUUAUUGUUAUUAUUGCCGGUCUUUAUCGCGAAAACUAUCAUUUUCCAUUUCUUUAAGAUGUACUUGUAUGUGAAUUUCGAAGUGUAAAAGCCCCUUGUUGAUUAUCUGGUGGAACAUUGGCUGUGGCGCCAAUUCUCUCAUAACGGAGCUGGAUGAAAAUGUAGUUAACGGAGCUGGAUGAGGUAGCCGCGUGAAUUCAGAUGGUUGCAAAAGAAGCAGCGACGCCAGAUUCUGCUUUGAAGUUGCCAUUGACUGCAGAAAAUGUGGAGGGUGUGCUGGAUGAAAUCGACCCUAUCUCAUUGCAGACGGUGGUAAAGUGGCACUACAUGAAAUUGAGGGAAAUGUUGUGAGGUUGAACCUACGAGGAGCAUGUGGCUCCUGUCCAAGUUCUGUGACGACUAUGAAGAUGGGUAUCGAGAUUCAAGCGUCGUUUAAUGGGAAAAAAAUCCCUGAAAUAUAUAGUUGCUUUGGAAUCAAUAGCAUGAGGAAACUACAUAGAGAAGGUAAUAGUACAUGUGCAUUUGUCAUUGUCCGAUAAGUACUAAUGCAUCUGCAUUGGUUUCAUAUAAAAUGAUAUGGCUCGUGCUGACUGCUGAGUCUGCCCCUUUAGAUAGAGACGUGAACGAACAUAGUAUAACUGGGGGAAAUGGUGAGUGUAGACAUGACACUAGCUGGGAAUUGAUAUUCAUUCCUAGCUAUUCCUUAAUCCUAGCUAGCAGCAAAAGCUUAGUCUGAUUCGAAGUUUAAUCCGGUCAAACGAAUGGAGCCUCAUUGAUAAUCUGGAAGAGUCACAAAUACUUCUAGAUAUAUGUGGUUCCAUCAUUUAUUUUUUCGAAUAAUAGGGAGUAGUUUUUUGACUGAUUUUACUUACUGAUAUGAGUCUUGAUUUCUUCAUGCGCGGGAGUAGAAAACUCGAGUCGUUGGUCCGCGGCGUCUGCCAGACCCACUGAUUGGAUUUCGAUCAUUGUAUCUUGGGGAUAGACGUCUAAAGAUUCCGUUAGCACCGCAGCAGUGACAAAUCUAUUUUAGACAGUGU